rnacentral:rRNA from 1 species
UACGUAGGGGGCUAGCGUUGUCCGGAAUCAUUGGGCGUAAAGCGCGUGUAGGCGGCCCGGUAAGUCCGCUGUGAAAGUCGGGGGCUCAACCCUCGAAUGCCGGUGGAUACUGUCGGGCUCGAGUACGGAAGAGGCGAGUGGAAUUCCUGGUGUAGCGGUGAAAUGCGCAGAUAUCAGGAGGAACACCGAUUGCGAAGGCAGCUCGCUGGGACGUAACUGACGCUGAGACGCGAAAGCGUGGGGAGCGAACAGG